rnacentral:rRNA from 1 species
AUUGAACGCUGGCGGCAGGCUUAACACAUGCAAGUCGAGCGACCGGCGGACGGGUGAGUAAUGUCUGGGAAACUGCCUGAUGGAGGGGGAUAACUACUGGAAACGGUAGCUAAUACCUAAUACCAUCAGAUCUGCCCAGAUGGGAUUAGCUAGUAGGUGGGGUACUGGCUCACCUAGGCGACGAUCCCUAGCUGGUCUGAGAGGAUGACGAGCAACACGGGAACGGAGACACGGCCCAGACUCCUACGGGAGGCAGCAGUGGGGAAUAUUGCACAAUGGGCGCAAGCCUGAUGCAGCCAUGCCGCGUGUGUGAAGAAGGCCUUCGGGGUGUAAAGCACUUUCAGCGAGGAGGCGUUACUCGCAGAAGAAGCACCGGCUAACUCCGUGCCAGCAGCCGCGGUAAUAC